UACAGAAGCCUCAAGCGUUACCCGGAUUUACUGGGCGUAAAGGGUGUGUAGGCGGUGUGAUUAGUCUUGCGUUAAAUCUUCGAGCUCAACUUGGAGUUCGCGUGAGAAACGGUCACACUGGAGGAAGUGAGAGGUCUAGGGAACUCAUGGUGUAGGGGUGAAAUCCGUUGAUAUCAUGGGGAACACCAAAUGCGGAGGCACUAGACUGGCACUUUUCUGACGCUGAGACACGAAAGCGUGGGUAGCGAAUCGG
rnacentral:rRNA from 1 species